rnacentral:rRNA from 1 species
CAGCAGCCGCGGUAAUACAGAGGGUGCGAGCGUUAAUCGGAUUUACUGGGCGUAAAGCGUGCGUAGGCGGCUUCUUAAGUCGGAUGUGAAAUCCCUGAGCUUAACUUAGGAAUUGCAUUCGAUACUGGGAAGCUAGGGUAUGGGAGAGGAUGGUAGAAUUCCAGGUGUAGCGGUGAAAUGCGUAGAGAUCUGGAGGAAUACCGAUGGCGAAGGCAGCCAUCUGGCCUAAUACUGACGCUGAGGUACGAAAGCAUGGGGAGCAAACAGGAUUAGAUACCCCCGUAGUCCCUGUCUCUUAUAC